GACAACCCGGCCGCUGGAGUUGGUCUGCAUUGACUUUUGGUCGGCUGAAGACUCCAGGAACAGGUCUGUUGACGUUCUGGUGAUAACUGAUCAUUUCACGAGAAUGGCUCAGGCAUUUUCAUGUAAAGACCAGACAGCUAAACAGGUGGCUAGGGUUCUAUGGGACCGGUAUUUCUGUGUCUUUGGAUUCCCAGAAAGAAUCCAUAGUGAUCAGGGUGCUAACUUUGAGAGUCUGCUGAUUGGUGAGCUUCUCAGGAUCUCAGGUGUCAAGAAAUCACACACAACCCCCUAUCACCCAAUGGGGAAUGGGAGUGUGGAACGUUUCAACCGAACCCUGGGUGGUAUGAUUCGAGCACUGCCCCCGGAAGAGAAGGCUGACUGGCCUCGGCGCUUACAGACCUUAACGUUCAUGUACAACUGUACGGAACAUGAGACGACAGGUGGGACUCGACAGUCUACACUGUGGUAGAUGUGAAUACAGAGACACACACAUACAGGAUCCGCGACACAAUCACUGGACGGGAGAAGGUGGUCCACAGGAACUUGCUGAUGCUGGUUAAUUUUCUUCCUGUGGGGGAUACAUGUGACAUAUCAGAUCUGGCCUCAUCCUUGCUCGGUACGGGGUCCUCCGUUUCAGGACAUGAUGGUGGCGAGGCAGAAGAGACCUCGUCUGGGAGAGGGAGGGAGUCUCUCAGUGUGGCUAGUGAAAGCUUUGACACUGAAGGUGACAGUGAGUCCCCUGUGACUGUGACGGACGGACAGGGUCCCUUGACCGAUGCGGUGCCCGUGGAUUCGGAGAGCAGAACCAUUGAAUGGAUUACUCAGUUGUCUGGGCCAAGCCUGGCUGAGGCGUGCAUUGUUGACAUGAGUGUUGCUUCUGAUCCCCAGAACGCAACUAUCUCACUUGAGGGCAGCACCACUGAUCAAUCUGUGAC
ensembl:lncRNA